UUCUUUUUAGUUUAUUAGCGAUAGAUUAUGUUUUGUUUUUUUCCUGUUUAGUGCUAUAUAUGUUUAGUUCUAGGUUUAGUUACUUAGUCAUAAAUAAAAUAAGUAGAAAAAUAUGAGGCAAAAAAGAAGAAUAAGUAGAUAAGGGAAGAAGAAGAAGAAGAAUAGGAGGAGGAGGAGGAGGAGGAGGAGAAGGAGGAGGAGAAGAAGAAGAAGAAGAAGAAAAAGGGGAGAGAGGUGAAGAAGAAAAAAGAGGAAAAAGGAAAUGAAGGAAGAAGAAGAAGAAGAAGAAAAGGAAGAACAAGACACCCUGACACGACGCCCCG
rnacentral:lncRNA from 1 species